UCUACGACUAUUUUUUUCAAUACCCUAGAAAACCCAGUUUCAAACUUCAACCGCCGCCUCCUCCGUCACUUCCUCUAAAACCCUAACCACGGUGACCACCUCUACCGUAAUUCUCAGUGGCCUCUCUUUAAAGUAGAAUAUCUUUUAUUAUUGUUUUUCCUCUCUGUAAGCAUCCUUGCCACCACUAUUGGCAGCAUCAUCACCGGCACCACAAAACCCUCACACAACACCAUCCCUAUUUUCUUCACCGUCACCAUUACUCACUACCUUCUCUGUAAACGUAAACCACCCUAAAUCUAAACUCCAUCCUCAUAUAAACUAUUAUCUACAAUACCAGUUUCUUUAACUUCCGCUUCCGCCUUACCGAUAUGAGUUUAUGAUUGAACAAAAGAGAUGGAUUUAUGGAUUUGAGUUAGAUCUUUGUAUAUGUGCGUUUGUUGUCCCCUUCACCACCAACGUUAUCUCCAUCACUCACGACCAUUGGUACUCUGUCAACCCUAGAUCUAAACCAUCUUGUCAUCGGUUUCGUUACUCUAUUCCCUCACCACCACAUCUGAACCCGACAAUAAUAUAUUUCUAAGCUCAAGGCUAAAGGCUGAAGGUUGAUAGUGGCUUAUAGACUCUUGAUUUUAUGAUCCAAGCUUGAUUUUUAUCUGGUUAAUGGUCUGUGUGGGUAGUCUGCUAAGUUCUGGAUAGAGUCGAAGUUUAAUGUAAUCUACAAGUUCAUGGAGAUUUAUUUGUACAUCUUUGUUUAUUUUUCAUUUAGCUGGUGUUGACCAAAUGGUUUUGGUUUCUCCAAAGUACAAGUUUUUUUUCUUUGCAGUGUAGUAUUUCUUACAGGUUUAGAAAAAUAUAUGAAUUUAGAAAUUUUCAGUUCA